CGCACUCUUCGGAGUGAGUGGCAGACGGGUGAGUAACGCGUGGAAACGUGCCUUUCUCUACGGAAUAGCCCUUGGAAACGAGGUGUAAUACCGUAUACGCCCUUAGGGGGAAAGAUUUAUCGGAGAAAGAUCGGUCCGCGUUAGAUUAGUUUGUUGGUGGGGUAAUGGCCUACCAAGACUACGAUCUAUAGCUGAUUUGAGAGGAUGAUCAGCCACACUGGAACUGAGACACGGUCCAGACUCCUACGGGAGGCAGCAGUGGGGAAUCUUGGACAAUGGGGGAAACCCUGAUCCAGCCAUGCCGCGUGAAUGAUGAAGGCCUUAGGGUUGUAAAAUUCUUUCACCGGGGAAGAUAAUGACGGUACCCGGAGAAGAAGCUCCGGCUAACUUCGUGCCAGCAGCCGCGGUAAUACGAAGGGAGCUAGCGUUGUUCGGAAUUACUGGGCGUAAAGCGCACGUAGGCGGAUUAGUAAGUAAGAGGUGAAAUCCCAGGGCUCAACCCUGGAACUGCCUUUUAAACUGCUAGUCUAGAGGAUAGGAGAGGUCAGUGGAAUACCGAGUGUAGAGGUGAAAUUCGUAGAUAUUCGGUGGAACACCAGUGGCGAAGGCGACUGACUG
rnacentral:rRNA from 1 species